ACCAAAAUAACUAAAAAGAUAGUAAAUAACAAGCCUUAUUACCACCAAAAUGGAUGUCUCGGAGAUUCUUAAUUAUCUUAACUUUGAUCCUACGACAUCAGUAGCUUAGGUUGUAAACUUACAAUGUAAUUAGGUAUUUUAUUUACUAUGUAAUUAGGUUGCAAACUUACCAUUUAAUUUAGAAAAUCAAUUUUAACUUUUAAGAGUUAAUUUCAUAUUAUUUAUUUUUCUUAAAUUUUUUCUUGCCAAAGCCUAAAUUUAUACCUAGCAAAUAUUAUUAAAGCCU
rnacentral:misc_RNA from 1 species